UGCCAGCAGCCGCGGUAAUACGAGGGGUGCAAACGUUAUUCGGAUUAACUGGGCGUAAAGGGUGUGUAGACGGGGCAUUAAGUUUAUUGUUAAAUCUUUCGGCUUAACCGAAAGCUUGCGAUGAAAACUAAUGUUCUUGAGGGUGAAAGAGAGAAGUGGAAUUCUCGGAGUAGCGGUAAAAUGCGUAGAUCUCGAGAGGAACACCGAUGGCGAAGGCAGCUUCUUGGUUCACUCCUGACGUUGAGACACGAAAGCGUGGGUAGCAAACAGGAUUAGAUA
rnacentral:rRNA from 1 species